rnacentral:rRNA from 1 species
UACAUGGGGUGCAAACGUUGCUCGGAAUCAUUGGGCGUAAAGCGCACGUAGGCGGUUCGUUUAUGUCGGAUGUGAAAGCCCUCGGCUUAACCGGGGAAGUGCAUCCGAAACUGGCGAGCUUGAGUACUAAAGAGGGUCGCGGAAUUCCCGGUGUAGAGGUGAAAUUCGUAGAUAUCGGGAGGAACACCAGCGGCGAAGGCGGCGACCUGGGUAGAUACUGACGCUGAGGUGCGAAAGCGUGGGGAGCAAACAGG